GCACGGAGGUCUGGGGGCAUGGCGCCUUCGCCUCGGGUAGAGACCGGAGACGAUUACAGAGAGCAGUGGCAUCUUCCUCUCAGGCAGGGACCGGGAGAAGGAGGGAUAUUGCACAUAUCCAUGAAGUAACUGAUCCAGGCGCAGAUGCUCAGAAAAAUGCUAAGGAAGAGGAAUUUUAAUGGAAGAGGGCUGGGAAUACUGAGCCUGAACAGCUCCUUGCUCUUGAGGUUGGUGUCAUUACAUCUGCGUGGGCCAAGCUGGAUAAGAUGACGUGGAAGGACAGAGUCCUGCUCCCAGGUAACCCUGCCCAGCACCAGGACUCAGCUCAGGGAAGAGGCAUUUGCUCAGCCUCCUGCAUAUUGUACUAUUUACACAGCUAUUGAUUACAUCCCAUUGCCAGCUGGGCAGGUGAUGAGGGUGUUUUUGACACAAGGGAUUCUCCCACUGGUACCAUUUAAAAAAAUACAAUUCAUACUUUUACUUUUUUUUUAAACUUAAACUCAUUUCCUUUCCUGAUUCCUUUCACUGUCCUUGCAAAUACAGCAACAUUUCAUUUACCACCACCUACACAAGGAGAUCAAACCUUCACAUUUGCCUGGAUUUAUCCACCUCACACAGCAGGGAAAGGGCUGCCCUCUGGCACCAGCUGGCACCUGGUGUCCCUGUCCCCCGUGUGUGCCCCCAUCUCACCCAUGGACAAUGCUGGUCACAUGCUGACUCACAAGGCUGCACCAUGCAACCCAACCUCCACAGUGUCAGGUUGGUGGUUGAUCUCUGGAGGGGACAAACCCUCUCUUUGGUGUCAGGAGCUCCUCUGCCCACUCUGGGCAUGGGGAAGGGGCAGCUCUGGCAUCCCCCAGCAUCCUCCUUGCCUCAUCCCUCCCAGGGAACUGUCCACUCAUCCUUUGGACGUUCUCCUGUGGCUGAAAAGGCGCUGAAGGAGCUGGGGGCAGCUCAGUAGCAUCUCAAGGGGUUCUGGAAGUGCUCUAUUGGGGUUUCCCCAUGGGUGCUCCUGAUAGCAGGGUGGGCUUUGGGACAAGACAGUGAUGUCCAGGUUCCCACCUCCCAGGGGUGUGUUGUGCUGCUCAUGCCAGCAGAUCAUAGAUCACCUGCUGGGAAUCAGCCUUGGGGAGCAGCACACUGAUGGGGCAGAAGGGCGCCCUGGCCCCAGCACUGGCAUCUGAGCACCCCAUCCCUUCAAAGCCCAGGAUGGACCAGUGCCCCAGUCAGCCCUGGAAAGGCAGUGACACCAGGGAGCCACAGGGCAUCGCGCUGCUGUUCUGUGACAGCCCCAACAGUCUUUAAAGUAAAAAACCACAACACGAAUCUCUGCCGCACAAAAUCACACCGGAGCCCCCAAAAGUAAAGCUCAUAACACCAGUGAAGCAUCGUGCUUCAUGUGGGGCUGGGUGGGAGAGGCAGGAACUGGGGGAGAGGGAGGACACGCGCGCACACACACACACACACACGCACGCACGAGUUUCACUCACGCUUGAGGUAGAACAUUGC